rnacentral:tRNA from 1 species
AUUUAUAUAGUUUAAUAAAAACUUAGCUUUUUCAUUGCUAAAUUAGAUUAUUCUUUUUAUCUUAUAAAUA